rnacentral:rRNA from 1 species
AUGAUCGAGGCUAAAGUCAAGCUUAACAAGGAGCGGAUGCGCGCCACCCGGCACGUCCUGUCCGAGUACGGCAACAUGUCCAGCGCGUGUCUGUUCUUCGUCCUGGACGAGAUGCGCAGACGCUCCUCCGAGGACGGACACGCCACCACCGGCGAGGGCAUGGACUGGGGUGUCCUAUUCGGCUUCGGCCCCGGCCUCACUGUCGAGACCAUCGUCCUCCACAGUGUCCCCAUCGCCUCCCCCUCAUUGUCGAGGGAUCUUCAAGGCUCACAUUUUGCAUUGGUGGGCCAUAUGGUCUUGUCGAACGGGUCCGAGAGCGGAAUCGCGCGCGCUGCAUUUUUGCGCGCUGCAGGAGCCAGCACUACCCGCCACGCCAAACCAGGCGAUGGGUGCGCGUCAAAGUAG